rnacentral:lncRNA from 1 species
AAAUGAACGAAGCGUUAUUUGAUCACAAUGAGGUGGAUCGGCCGAAUCAAGUGAUAUGGAAAUGAUAAAAGGGUGAUUGAAUUAGUUGUCUACUAAAGAAAAAAGAAAAAAAGAAGAGAAAUAAGAGAAUUGAUGACUUCCUAAUGAUUACCUAGCUUAAGAAAAUUAGUUCCACCACCCAAAUAAAUUCCUUCCGUCCACCGCACAUUACCUCGGCCCCAUUACAACCUUUAUUUAGCCUCGAUUAUAUUUAUGAAAUUUUAUGUAUUAUGUUUAAGGUAAGAUGGAC